AAACUGGUAAAUUACAUUUUGAGGCCAUCAGGCUGUAGGCUUCUGAGGCAGAAUAUCGGGCGUUGUUCCUUCAGCUUGCAUGUGGCACCAUUGUGGCACUGGAGGAGGCCCAGGAUGGACAUAACACCCAGGGAAUGGGAGAGAGAGUUAAAAUCAUUGGCAGCCAGAAGGUGUUGUUGAUUUCAGCAUACAGAGUGCAGGUAUUCCACAAAUCUGACACUGUGUCUAUCUUUGGUCUCACUGAUAUAGAGAAGCGCACAUCGGGAGCAACGGAUACAGCAGACCAGGUUGGAGGAUGUACAGUGUACCCCUGUCGGAUAUGGAAAAUUUGUCUUGAGCUUCAUAUAGAGAAACCAAUUCUUUCUUGUGAUAAGCCUCCGUCAAAACACAAGUGUCAGAAAUCAGUUCUGGAUAUUUUCUAAUCAACCUGAUUGGUGAUAUUAUUAUGUACCUCUGGAGCAUUUUGGACUUGAACCACGACUUCCUGGCUCAAAGGUAUUCCAUGGCGCUUGAAAAACAAACUUUGAAAGGAGCUGUACAGUAGUUUAUGCAGAAUGAUUUAUGGUGAAGAUUGAGAUUAUACAAAGCAGAUUUCAAAGUGAAUGGAUCUCACUCCAAAUGAACAAGGUUUGUCCACUCCUUGAGAAAUUAAAUUGCUUUACCUUGUUGUAGAAUUCCCGGAUCCAUGAAGCUGGUGAUAACGAAACUUGUAAAGCACAGUAUGAACAAGAUUCCGGUAGUGAUUGGGAAUACCAAGGAAACUUUAACAGCCAAGAAAGCACAACUGAAAAAGAGAGGCAAUUUUUUUAACAAACUUUGUAAUCUGGACUUAAAUAGCCAGCAAGCAUAUGCUUUGUACAUAUGUAUAGAAGUCAGAGUUACAGUCUCUAAGUCUCAGUUGCCAUUGAAAAAAAACUUUUGAACUGCUCCUGAACAAGACAAUUGUCUCUCAUUCUUACUUCCUACAACCGUCUACAGUAGCCAAUUUCUUCUGUUUAGCUUGUUCUCUCUUUUGUUUCUUUUUCUAUUCA